rnacentral:rRNA from 1 species
GAUGAACGCUGGCGGCGUGCUUAACACAUGCAAGUCGAACGGAAAGGCCCAAGCUUGCUUGCGUUCUCGAGUGGCGAACGGGGGAGUAUCACGUGGGGGAUCUGCCCUUCACUUCGGGAUAUGCCUUGGAAACUGGGUCUAAUACCGGAUAUGACCACUUCUUGGAUGUGGUUGUGGAUAGUUUUUUCGUUUUGGGAUGAGCUUGCGACCUAUCAGCUUGUUGGUGGGUUAAUGGCCUACCAAGGCGUUGACGGGUAGCCGGCCGGAGACGGUGUACGGCGACCUUGAGACUGAGAUACGGCCCAGACUGCGACGGGGGGAAGAUGGGGGGAAUCUUGACGAAGGGGCGCAAGCCUGAUGAAGAGAGGCCGCGUGGGGGAUGACGGCGUUAGGGUUGAAAAACCCUUGCGCUAGGGACGAAGCGGUUUGUGACGGUACCUGGAGAAGAAGCACCGGCUAACUACGUG